UGAGAUUUGCAAUCCCUUGAAAUCGAAUAAAAUGGGACUCACACUUCUCAUCCAAUCUGCUCCCAAUAUAACAUCAAAUCCACCCAACUCCAAAAGUCUCAUAGGAAAAGAGAAACAUUGGUUCUGAGUGUGCCAUUGAAAUGAAGGACACAUUGUAGAACUUAGUAAUUUCCUUCCAUCAGCUACAAUAACCAUUGACACAGGUGCUUGCACCACUGGAAGUUUUAAAUCUUUGGCCACUUUUACAUCCAAGAAACUGUUAGUGCUCCCACUAUCCACCAAUAUAACUAAUUGUCUAUCCUUAUGUCUCCCCAUCACCUUAAUUGUGUCUACACCUUGACUGCCUUCCAUAGCAUGAACUGAUAGAGUCAUUUCUGGUUGUCCUUCCCCAAUUUCCUCACCUUCUACCACUUCUUGAUACUCUUCCUCCAAUUUUUCCACUCCUUGUUCCUCCAACUGAAUGGCCAUAGCAGUCUUAGAUUUACACUGGUGACCAGGGAAGAACUUUUCCCCACAUCUGUAACAGGGUUUGGACUGUCUACUUGCUGCUGGAGUUGGAAGCAAACCUGGUUUAGAUGAAGGUUGAGGUAAUGAAUUACUACUGAUUGCAGAAGAGGACUUAGCAGUGGUUGCAGAAGGUUUUUGGUUGUGGUUGUUAUCAUUUGGAGGUUUUGGUGGAUAAGAAAGUGGUUGAGAAAUUUUAUAGGAUUGGUUUGAAGAAGAAGAUGCAAAAUUAGGCUUAUAAGCACUAUUAUACCCAGAUCUUGGUAGAGAAAAGGCUUUACUAUUACAUAGCAUCCACUGCUCUUGUAGUCUAGCUGCUUCAAAAGCAUGAGCUAGGGUUGUAGGCCUAACCAUUCUCACCAUUGGCCUAAUUUCAUCCCUCAAUCCUCCAAUGAAUCCAGACAAAAAAUAAGCUUCCCCUAAAUCAGGCAUAAACCUCUCCAUUCUUACCCUAAGAUCCUCAAACCUAUCUUGAUAUUCCCCAACACUACCCUCUUGCCUUAGUCUCAUAAACUCCUCAACUACAUCCUCAAAACCUUGUUCUCCAAAUCUAUUGCAUACUGCUAUCUCAAAUUCUUCCCAAGAUCCACUAAUUUUAGACUUAUUCCAAUUUUGAAACCAAGAGUCAGCUCUUCCUACCAUAUACAAGCUUGCUAUUCCCACCAUCUUAUCUUUAGGAACCCUAAAAACUUCAAAGUACUUGAAACACUUCCUAACCCAAGCCCUUGGCUCACUCCCAUCAAAAGUUACUAAUUCAAUCUUAGGCAAAAUCUUUUUCUGACCCCACUGAUUCCAUAACAAAAUCAGAACUACCCUGAUCUCUAGAAUGAAGAUUCAGAGUUUCCUUUGGAGCUGUUAAAGAAUUCUUACCUGUCACUCCAUUAGAAUUCCUUUCAUCAGAGUUGAUGAUUUCUUUCCCUUUGUCCCCAAAAAACCCUAGCAUUAGG
rnacentral:misc_RNA from 1 species